rnacentral:rRNA from 1 species
UGGGGAAUUUUGGACAAUGGGCGCAAGCCUGAUCCAGCAAUGCCGCGUGCAGGAUGAAGGCCUUCGGGUUGUAAACUGCUUUUGUACGGAGCGAAAAGGUCUGCCCUAAUACGGUGGGCUCAUGACGGUACCGUAAGAAUAAGCACCGGCUAACUACGUGCCAGCAGCCGCGGUAAUACGUAGAGUGCGAGCGUUAAUCGGAAUUACUGGGCGUAAAGCGUGCGCAGGCGGUUAUAUAAGACAGAUGUGAAAUCCCCGGGCUCGACCUGGGAACUGCAUUUGAAACUGGCAGGCUUGAGUCUUGUAGAGGGGGAUGGAAUUCCGCGUGUAGCAGUGAAAUGCGUAGAUAUGCGGAGGAACACCGAUGGCGAAGGCAAUCCCCUGGACCUGUACUGACGCUCAUGCACGAAAGCGUGGGGAGCAAACA